rnacentral:antisense_RNA from 1 species
ACCUGAGUUCUAAAUUUAUUUCUCAAAGAAGCCAAGCUCCUGAGAGAGAAAUGAUACUGUGAGAGUAUCUGCCUGGAAACCCUGUUGCCUGGAGACCACUCUUGAAGAACAUCCACUGCUGUGGCCUCUUAAAGAUUUAAGACAUCUAAUGAAGAGCUGACAGAAAUCAUCAAUUUGCUCCUCAUUUCAGUGUCAAAUCAUGAUGCAACAGCAGAGUGAACUCAGUGUUUUUGGUAUGAAGAAGAUCUCCAUGUGUUUCCAUCAUCAGCAUCUCCUGUGCUCUUAAUCUUACCCUGGAUACUUGACCCAGGUGCCCAUGCUGUGAAUUCUUUCAUUGUAGGAAAGAGAAACAGAUGUUGGCACCAGGCUCUUGGACUUCCCAGCUUCCAGAAUCAUGAGCCAAAUAACCUCUUUUCUUUAUAAA